rnacentral:sRNA from 1 species
UCCUAGCCCCGAUAGUAGUGGAAAUCCUUUUGUGCCGGGGUUCGGCACAAAAGAUUGUAGCGGAUAGCGGGAUUAGCU